GACGAACCGAGCGAACGUUGUUCGGAAUCACUGGGCUUAAAGGGUGCGUAGGCGGGCUGCCAAGUUUGGGGUGAAAUCCUCCGGCUCAACCGGGGAAGUGCCUUGAAUACUGGCGGUCUCGAGGGAGGUAGGGGCGUGCGGAACUAACGGUGGAGCGGUGAAAUGCGUUGAUAUCGUUAGGAACUCCGGUGGCGAAGGCGGCACGCUAGACCUCUUCUGACGCUGAGGCACGAAAGCCAGGGGAGCGAACGGGAUAGAA
rnacentral:rRNA from 1 species